CCUACGGGCGGCAGCAGUGGGGAAUAUUGCACAAUGGGGGAAACCCUGAUGCAGCGACGCCGCGUGAGUGAAGAAGUAUUUCGGUAUGUAAAGCUCUUUUAGCAGGGAAGAAAAUGACGGUACCUGACGAAGAAGCCCCGGCUAACUACGUGCCAGCAGCCGCGGUAAUACGUAGGGGGCAAGCGUUAUCCGGAUUUACUGGGUGUAAAGGGAGCGUAGGCGGCCAGACAAGUCAGAAGUGAAAGCCCAGGGCUCAACCCUGGGACUGCUUUUGAAACUGCCGGGCUGGAGUGAAGGAGAGGUAAGCGGAAUUCCUGGUGUAGCGGUGAAAUGCGUAGAUAUUAGGAGGAACACCAGUGGCGAAGGCGGCUUACUGGACUGUAACUGACGUUGAGGCUCGAAAGCGUGGGGAGCAAACAGGAUUAGAUACCCGUGUAGUC
rnacentral:rRNA from 1 species